rnacentral:tRNA from 1 species
UGCCAGGUAGUCUAGUGGCUAAUAUUCUGCACUCCCAAUUCAGGGGGCCCGGGUUCAAUCCCUGGCCAGGGAA